CUCGAGCAUUGGUCCCUUCACCCCAUUUAAAGACAGCUGAUUUCUUCAUCUCAGAUUCUGAAUCCUGAUCCAUUUCUUUCACAUAAUCCUGUACGGGUAGCUGGAGUCAGUUCCAGUCAGUUCCAGUCAGUUCCAGAGAAAGAGAGAGCACAUCAGUUCAGUUCAGUCCAUCAGAGAGUUCAGAUCAGAGAGAGAGUCAGUCUUGAGAGAGAGAAUCAAGCAUCGUCACCGUCGUAACUGUCUCGGUAUCACGCGUGUACAUCUCUGUUCACCAUUAAAUCAAGAAGUUCUAUCAAUCCUUUGUGUUGCCUUUACUCGCACAAUCAGCCAUAAUCUCAACCACUAUCCGCGCACUCCACGCUAACAGUUUCAUCGGAGAAUCAACGAGCCACCACCGCCUAUCCUGCCGCCAUCACCUCCACCAGCAUCUAAUCCGCUUUUAGGCAUCAGGGAAGGAAGGAAGGAAAGAAGGAAGGAAGGAAGGAAGGAAGGAAGGAAGGAAGGAAGGAAGGAUAGAAGGAAGGAAGGAAGGGAGGGAGGAAAGAAGAAACGCGACAGGAAGCAACAAAACGUAAACAAAUGAGGAAUUGAGGCAAGGGAGUGAAGGAGGGAGAUGAGGAAGAUAAAGAAGAGAGGAGAGGAGAGAAUGGAAAGCAGUAAAGAAGGAAAGAUAAAAGAAUGGAGAAAAAAGAAUCGAGGUGAAGGAGAGAAGGAUAUGAAAAGAAAGGAGACACGAAGAGAAAAAGGAAGGAGAAAGGAAGAAAGGAAAGAAGAGAGGAAAAGAAUAGAAAUAAGGUGUAGGAAUGAAAAAAGAGAUAGGGGUGUCUUAAUGAAUGGAGGGAAGAGAAAUAGAGAAGGAAAGCAAGGAAGGACAGGGAAGAAAGAGAAGAAAGUAGGAAAGGAGGAAAGAAGAGAAGGAAGAAGAAAACUGAAAGAAAAAUGGAAAAAAAGGGCAGGAGAAGAGAACAAAUUAAAAGGAAAGGAAAGAUAUAAGAAAAGAUGACGAAAAAAGAAGAAAGAAAAGAAGAAAGAAGAGGAGGAAAGUAGGUAGAAAAGAAGAGAAGAAAGAAGGAAACUAAUAAUGAAAGAAAAGAAGAAAGAAGGGCAGGAAAAGAAAGCAAACGAAAAAGUAAGGAAAAAAACACAUGAAAAGAAGGGAAAGAAACAGAGAAAAGAAACGAGGAAAGAAGAAAAUAAAAGAAAAAAGGAGAGGAAAGCAGAAAGGAACAAACAAUCGAACAAGAAAG